rnacentral:lncRNA from 1 species
CUUUCUCCAUAAGCCAGCCCUAGGGUGGAGUUGCCGGCCUGCCUUGCUGUGUGUUUCUGUACUUCUUCCCUGUACCUGUCGUGUUUUGAAUCAACUUCCAUGCUAAGGUAGACCAGUGGAGACUUUCUCUGUUCUUUGCUGUGUAUCCAUCCCUGUUACCCGAUAACUGAGCUUGCUGUGGAGUAGGUGCUUAAUAAAUAUUUUUAAAUGGGUUAAUUUUGUCUUUUGAAUGGAAUACAAAUACUCUUUGAUAUUAGCAUGCAAGUAUGCAGACAAGUUCUCAAAUAGAUGUCUCUUAGUCAAUUGAUUUAAUACCCUGGGUGUUCUUUUAAAUGCCUUGUGCAGGGUGCAUCGAUAGGUACAGUAAGGAAUGGAGUGGUGUGUGUUCAGCCUGUGCUACUCUUAAGUAACCGUCUGUUUAUUCGGUCAUUCUCUACUUCAGCACUCACGAAUCAGACUCUAUAGUACCCUUUGCAGAUUGUGGGACCUGAGUGUGUGAGCCUUUGGGGCCUGGGGGAGAACCUGCAGGCCAACCCCUCACUGUUCCAUUAGUGGAAUAAGACCAAUCUGAACAGAUCCAGUUUGAAUUCAGCUCUGUCAGUUUUAAGACUUACAGUACAGUCUUGAGCUUGUCUGCAAAAAAAAAAAAGAGACAGGAAUAUCUUCCUUGUAACCUGUGGAAGGACUCAGAUAAGAAAAGGAAUGUUUGAUGAUCAGCAUCACAGAGCUAAUGUCCUUGCUUUUAGCUAAGCACCCUGCCAAACAGUCCAUAUUAAUACUUUUUGUUAAAUCUCACAGCAGCCCUAUAGAUAGGGAUGUUAUUAUUUUCAUGUUCUAAAUGAAGAAAAAGACUUAUUUGGAAAACCCAAUAAUUUGUCCAAGAUCAUGAAAGGAAUAAAAGGUAGAGCUAUUGCUGUGUAUGAUUUUUAAAGCCCAGAAUGGACUCCUUAUAUCCUCCAGCCAUGCCAUCUUUAAGUGUAGCUUUGCUAGUUGGGGUUUUGAAGACUUUUCAGUCUUCUAUUGGCAUUUGAAGUCUUUAAGUCUUAGGAGGGAGAACCUUGUUACAGC